rnacentral:rRNA from 1 species
CCUACGGGAGGCUGCAGUGAGGAAUAUUGGUCAAUGGACGAGAGACUGAACCAGCCAAGUAGCGUGAAGGAUGACUGCCCUAUGGGUUGUAAACUUCUUUUAUAUGGGAAUAAAAUGUUCCACGUGUGGGAUUUUGUAUGUACCAUAUGAAUAAGGAUCGGCUAACUCCGUGCCAGCAGCCGCGGUAAUACGGAGGAUCCGAGCGUUAUCCGGAUUUAUUGGGUUUAAAGGGAGCGUAGGUGGAUUGUUAAGUCAGUUGUGAAAGUUUGCGGCUCAACCGUAAAAUUGCAGUUGAAACUGGCAGUCUGGAGUACAGUAGAGGUGGGCGGAAUUCGUGGUGUAGCGGUGAAAUGCUUAGAUAUCACGAAGAACUCCGAUUGCGAAGGCAGCUCACUGGACUGCAACUGACACUGAGGCUCGAAAGUGUGGGUAUCAAACAGGAUUAGAUACCCCAGUAGUC